rnacentral:hammerhead_ribozyme from 1 species
AUCCAGCUGAUGAGUCCCAAAUAGGAUGAAACGCGCAUUCUGGAU